rnacentral:rRNA from 1 species
GAUCCUGGCUCAGGACGAACGCUGGCGGCGCGCCUAACACAUGCAAGUCGAACGAGAGAUGAGGAGCUUGCUCUUCAAAUCGAGUGGCGAACGGGUGAGUAACGCGUGAGGAACCUGCCUCAAAGAGGGGGGACAACAGUUGGAAACGACUGCUAAUACCGCAUAAGCCCACGGCUCGGCAUCGAGCAGAGGGAAAAGGAGCAAUCCGCUUUGAGAUGGCCUCGCGUCCGAUUAGCG